CACAGGUACCAGGAUGGAGGUCGACUAUCAGAUCAGCAGAUGGCGUUGCUGCAAUAUCAGCAAGAAAAUAUACACUUUUUAAGUGAGGAGUAUGUAGAAGAAAACGCGAGACUCAGAGCUAUUCUGGGAGAAUGGAGCAACCGAGCAGCUAAGCUCGAACGUGCAUUAGAGCUGGAACGGAUGUCAAACUUGGAACUGCAGAAAAAAAUGACCACACUGAAGACUCAAACGCGUGAAUAGUUCAGCCCCACUAGCAAGGUUAGCAAGUGGUUUCUACUUUAGCAGUUGAGCAACAAACAUG